GAUGAACGCUGGCGGCGUGCCUAAUACAUGCAAGUCGAGCGAACAGAUAAGGAGCUUGCUCCUUUGACGUUAGCGGCGGACGGGUGAGUAACACGUGGGUAACCUACCUAUAAGACUGGGAUAACUUCGGGAAACCGGAGCUAAUACCGGAUAAUAUUUCGAACCGCAUGGUUCGAUAGUGAAAGAUGGUUUUGCUAUCACUUAUAGAUGGACCCGCGCCGUAUUAGCUAGUUGGUAAGGUAACGGCUUACCAAGGCGACGAUACGUAGCCGACCUGAGAGGGUGAUCGGCCACACUGGAACUGAGACACGGUCCAGACUCCUACGGGAGGCAGCAGUAGGGAAUCUUCCGCGAUGGGCGAAAGCCUGACGGAGCAACGCCGCGUGAGUGAUGAAGGUCUUCGGAUCGUAAAACUCUGUUAUUAGGGAAGAACAUACGUGUAAGUAACUGUGCACGUCUUGACGGUACCUAAUCAGAAAGCCACGGCUAACUACGUG
rnacentral:rRNA from 1 species